rnacentral:lncRNA from 1 species
UGUGGAUCUCAAACAGCUGUGAUUGACUUUUGUGAAUCCUCAAAAACUCAAAUUGGGCAAUUCAUUCAUUCACUUCUUCUCGUGCAUUCUCAACUUCUCAAUGAAAAUCUGCAGCCUAGGUUUGGCCAAUUGUCAAUGUCACCUACUUUUAGUUUCUUCUUGCAUGGGAAAAAUGCUCCGCCAGUUGCCACUUGUCGCUUUAAGUCAAUGUCAGGAGAUAUUUGAUUCAUCGUCAAUUUGAUCUUCUAAAGUCACUUUUUCGCUGGUAUUGGGGCGCGUCCGAUGCUUGCUAAUUGCUAUUUUUCUCCACAAGAUGAAUUCUCAUUUAUUAUUAAGAAAAUGAAGAAAUAUGACCCUUUCAAAACUCAAGCCCCUUAAAUUGGAGUCGAUAAUGGGUAAAUGUGACAUUUUAACAUGUAAAUUAAUUAUCUUAGGUAAACACGUAUUAAAAUUAAACUAAAUUAUUUUUAGAGAAAAGAAUUCCUACAAUCUCAAGAUUUGGGGAAAUAAUCACAAAAACCUUCAAAUUUUCGAAAAGGGAUACUAAAAUUCUUUUUUUAUCAUAAUACUCUUAAAAUAUAGUGAUUAGCAAUUUGACUUUAAAGUUUU